rnacentral:piRNA from 1 species
AGCACUGACUUUGUAGAAAAACAUA